AGAACGAACGCUGGCGGCAUGCCUAAUACAUGCAAGUCGAACGAACUCUUCGGAGUUAGUGGCGCACGGGUGCGUAACGCGUGGGAAUCUGCCCCUUGGUUCGGAAUAACAGUUGGAAACGACUGCUAAUACCGGAUGAUGACGAAAGUCCAAAGAUUUAUCGCCAAGGGAUGAGCCCGCGUAGGAUUAGCUAGUUGGUGAGGUAAAGGCUCACCAAGGCAACGAUCCUUAGCUGGUCUGAGAGGAUGAUCAGCCACACUGGGACUGAGACACGGCCCAGUCUCCUACGGGAGGCAGCAGUAGGGAAUAUUGGACAAUGGGCGAAAGCCUGAUCCAGCAAUGCCGCGUGAGUGAUGAAGGCCUUAGGGUUGUAAAGCUCUUUUACCCGAGGUGAUAAUGACAGUAUCGGAGAAUAAGCCCCGGCUAACUCCGUGCCAGCAGCCGC
rnacentral:rRNA from 1 species